rnacentral:rRNA from 1 species
AUUGAACGCUGGCGGCAGGCCUAACACAUGCAAGUCGAGCGAGCGGCGGACGGGUGAGUAAUGUCUGGGAAACUGCCUGAUGGAGGGGGAUAACUACUGGAAACGGUAGCUAAUACCGCAUACCAUCAGAUGUGCCCAGAUGGGAUUAGCUAGUCGGUGGGGUAACGGCUCACCUAGGCGACGAUCCCUAGCUGGUCUGAGAGGAUGACCAGCCACACUGGAAGUGGGACACGGUCCAGACUCGAACGGGGGGCAGCAGGGGGGAAUAUUGCACAAUGGGCGCAAGCCUGAUGCAGCCAUGGCGGGUGUGUGAAGGAGGCCUUCGGGUUGUAAAGCACUUUCAGCGGGGAGGCGUAACCCGCAGAAGAAGCACCGGCUAACUCCGGGCCAGCCGCCGCGUAAUAC